rnacentral:rRNA from 1 species
AACGAACGCUGGCGGCGUGGAUAAGACAUGCAAGUCGAACGAGAUCUCCGAAUAGCUUGCUAAUUGGAGUGACAGUGGCGGACGGGUGCGUAACACGUGAGCAACCUGCCCUGAAGUGGGGGAUAGCUCUCCGAAAGGAGGAUUAAUACCGCAUGUGGUCUUCGGAUCAAAGGUGGCUUCGGCUGCCGCUUCAGGAUGGGCUCGCGGCCUAUCAGCUUGUUGGUGAGGUAACGGCUCACCAAGGCGACGACGGGUAGCUGGUCUGAGAGGACGAUCAGCCACACUGGAACUGAGACACGGUCCAGACACCUACGGGUGGCAGCAGUCGAGAAUCAUUCACAAUGGGGGAAACCCUGAUGGUGCAACGCCGCGUGGAGGAUGACGGCCCUCGGGUUGUAAACUCCUGUCAUCUGGGAGUAAGCCUUAUUCGUUAAUAGCGUGUAAGGUUGAUAGUACCAGAAGAGGAAGGGACGGCUAACUUCGUGCCAGCCGCCGCCGUAAAAC